UGGGGAAUUUUGGACAAUGGGCGCAAGCCUGAUCCAGCCAUGCCGCGUGCGGGAAGAAGGCCUUCGGGUUGUAAACCGCUUUUGUCAGGGAAGAAAUCUUCUGAGUUAAUACCUCGGGAGGAUGACGGUACCUGAAGAAUAAGCACCGGCUAACUACGUGCCAGCAGCCGCGGUAAUACGUAGGGUGCAAGCGUUAAUCGGAAUUACUGGGCGUAAAGCGUGCGCAGGCGGUUUUGUAAGACAGAGGUGAAAUCCCCGGGCUCAACCUGGGAACUGCCUUUGUGACUGCAAGGCUUGAGUGCGGCAGAGGGGGAUGGAAUUCCGCGUGUAGCAGUGAAAUGCGUAGAUAUGCGGAGGAACACCGAUGGCGAAGGCAAUCCCCUGGGCCUGCACUGACGCUCAUGCACGAAAGCGUGGGGAGCAAACAGGAUUAGAUACCCUGGUAGUCCACGCCCUAAACGGUGUCAACUGGUUGUUGGGAAGGUUCCUUCUCAGUAACGUAGCUAACGCGUGAAGUUGACCGCCUGGGGAGUACGGCCGCAAGGUUGAAACUAAAAUGAAUUGACGGGGUCAUAGCUGUUUCCUG
rnacentral:rRNA from 1 species